CUCUCUCGGAACAAUGUCUUUCAUCUGGAGCACUUAUUGGUUUUUUCCAUAAUUUGCUACUCCGAGAACCUCAAGGGACUCCAAUGUACAUGUAUGUCUGGGAAGAACUGGGAGAGCUCACCCGUCUUCAUGCUCAAACACUGCGAGACUUGAAGGCCCAGAACGUGAUGAAGAUGCCAGCUUAAAGUCUACUUUGUAAAUCCAACAGUAUCAUAUUUAUAUAAUUUAAAAAUAUAAAUAAAUGAUUGAUAGAUCUUC